CAUUUGAAGUAGUGAGGCAGGGAUUUGAGCCCAGGUCUGGUCCCUGAGCCCAUGCUCUCUGUUCUGCUGUGCACCUUGGGUGAUCAGGGAAGCAGACCCAAGCUAGGGAAGAAGUCAUGUGGGCAGGGCUGAGGCACUGGAACAGAGUGGGUAACGCAGGAUCUUGGGAAUCUGACACACUGGGGUUCAAAUCCUGGCUCUGCCACUUCGUAGCUCUGUGAGCUUGGAAGUGACUUAAUUUCUCUGAUCCUUGGGUCCCCAUCUAUAAAAGAGGAGAGCCAUAACUACCCAGAGAGUGUAAGGAUGACAUGAGAAUGUAUAUAGAGCCUUGGCAUGGGCCCUGGGGUGUGAUGAGCAUUCAGUAAAUGCUGGCUGCUGUGGGCACAUGGGAAUUGCUGGGCACUUUCUCAUCCACUUGAUCUCCUUGGCUCUUAGGGAAGGCAGACGCUGGACGGCAGGUCUCUCAGACACAGGAGAGACCCUUAGCUUUAUUUAUCCACCCUGGGAUGUAUCCCUGGGAGCUGUGUAUCAAAAUUAUAGCCACUGAAGGUUGGAAGGACAAAGGGGAGGCUAGGCCUGGAUAUAGCAUCUUUACAGUGGUCCAACUUCCCUCUUGCUGGUGAUGUCCAAAGAGAAAGGCCAGCACAGCGGCUCAGAUGGGCGUAGCGGGACUGCCUGGAGGAGCCUAUGCAGUGGGCUUGGGCAGGGUCCAGAGUUACUGGUGGCGGGGGUGGACGCUGUCAGUGUCUCCCCCAGACUCCACUGAACCUUUUAUAUCAGGUGCCCUAGAGUAGCACCUGUUUACCUAGACCUGCCUUCCAGAGACACUGUCUCCCCACCUUGUGAGCUCCUGGCUGCCAUGACCUCCGCACUUGCCCUGAGAGGCUGUGAGGAUGAAAUGCUGAUGUACAUGAAGCUCUUAGCCUAAUACUUCACAUUCAGCGAGCGCCCACCUUCUGACUGUGGCCAUUAAUUUGUGGAUUCAAGUAAUGUUUUAGGUUGAGAGGUCAUAGUUAUGAAGAAAACAGUCCCCACCCUCAUGGAGGUCACACGCUAGUAGGGAAGAUGGAUGAGAAACAUGUAAGCAAGUAGAUUUGAUUGUAAUAUUGGAGUGAAGAACAGUAAAGCAGGGAGAGGGAACAAAGACAUCGUUGGUGUGGCUGGGAAGGAAGGCUUUUAUUGGGAGAUAACAAGUGAGCAGAGACCCUGGGGAUAUGGAGGUGCCAAUCAUGAGAAUGUUGGGGGAGGCCAGGUGCGGUGGCUCAUGCCUGUAAUCCCAGCACUUUGGGAGGCCGAGGCGGGUGGAUCACUUGAGGUCAGGAGUUCGAGACCAGCCUGGCCAACAUGGUGAAACCCUGUUUCUACUAAAAAUACAAAAAUUAGCCAGGUGUGGUGGUAUGCCUGUAAUCCCAGCUACUGGGGAGACUGAGGCAGGAGAAUCACUUGAACCCAGGAGGCAGAGGCUGCAGUGAGCGGAUAUCAUACCACUGCACUCCAGCCUGGGCGACAGAGCAGGACUCUAUCUAGACAGACAGACAGGUAGGUAGAUAGAAUUAAUGUUGGGGAGCAUCCCAGCAGAGCCUCCAGGUGGGACUGAAUCUGGUACAACAAGACAGAGAGGAGGGAUAACUAGGAAAUGAAGCCAGGGUGGAGGCUACCAGGUCACAUAGGACCUUAUUGUUUUCAACAAUCAUUAUUUCUAGAUGUCGCUGGGCAGGAUCAGCUGUUCCUUCUCUUGUGCUAUUCUGCGUGGUAUGCACACAGCCAUUGUAGCAAGUCACCCUUUGUUAGGACUGUGUAUUUUACCACCACACUGGGAGCUCUGGAGGCCAGGGACUAUGGCUGUUUUGCAUAUACCCAGCACCUAGCAUGGGAACUGUUUAUCGAAAUUAUAGCCACUGAAGGUUGGAAGGACGAGGGGGCAACCAGGCCUGGGUAUGGUAUCCUUAGAGUGGUCCAACUUCCCUCUUCCUGGUGAUGUCCAAAGAGGAAGGAGCAUGGAGUCUGUGCUUCACACAUUUAAAGAUAAUGAAUCUUAGUGGCAAUGGAUGCUGUCUAUUGGGGGUUUCUGUGUGCUAUCCACAGCAGUUAGCAUUUUAUAUUUCAUUGUCUCAUUGAAUCAAUACAAUAGGCUUGGCCCCAAAGUGUCAUCUCCAUUUUACGGAUGAAGAAAUAAGCUGUAGAGGCCGUCCCAUGCCCCAAGCACACACAGCUAGGAACUUGCUGAGCUGAGAUUUGAAGCCAGGACUCUAAGGACCACACUUUCAACUCUGACCAAGCUGGAAGGUCGACUGCCUCCGGCAGGGGCUUGGCCCAGGCCUGCCCUUCCAAGGGCUGUGGUGUUUACUGCCGAGGGUUUUGGCAUCCUUCGGCCUUCUUGGUCCCUCAGGGGUCACCUUGCACCCCAGCCUUCCCUGUAGUAUCCCACGGAGCCUGAGGGGCUGUCCCUCAGACUUCCUCACAGCUUUGUAAUCCACAAAUGGAAAAGUGGCACUUAAAAUGAAUUUAUUCAGGUGGGAGCUGUGUAAGACAUGAAAAUAAGGCUUUUGAGCUCCUCCACAUAAACUUGAGUGUAAAUGAAAAGCUUUUUAUUUGGUUUCUGAGCCAGACUUUGAGAAGCCAGUGGUCCGUGCGGUCUGGAAGCGCAUGUUAUGGGCGCUGGGUCGGAACAGGGGCCACUUUGAAUGGCAAGGAGGGAGAAUCGCUCCAGCGAAGCUGGAACGGCCAAGAAGCUGGGAUGUCAAUAAACACAGGCAGGACACAGAAAGCCUUUUCCGAAGAGAUGGAAGGCGGGGAAGCGAAGGAAAGGCAGUGCCUCACUCCCGGUGCAUUUGAGAAGGAAAAUGCUUGAGGUAACCCGUGUUGGCAGCUUUUAUAGCUUCCUCUCGAUAAUGUGCUGGGCAGACCCUGAACAGGCUGGUGUUUUAUUUUCGUGUAACGAAGCCGAGUGGACCAGGGGCAGCUCUCCAGCAAUGGCUGGCCUGGGGCUGUGCUCACGGAGAGAGGCAGGGCUACCUGAGACCUGGGGCAGGGGCCAGCCUCCUGCCUGCUGGGCAAACUGUGGGGAAGGCGGGGACCAGGAUUUCUGACUUCCUCUGGAUGAUGUUUGGUUUGUCACAAUCCUUAGACGUAAGGCCCCUUUAUGUCCAGUGCCAGUGAGGGAGGUGGCAGGCAGCCGUGGGAAGGCAACUGCUCUGAGAAGGAGGGCACAGGUCCACGCUGUCUAAAUGUUACUGGUUGUGAACUACACAGGAACCUUAGCAUGGGGAACCCACAGAAAGGUCUUUGUGCCCUUUGCUGCCUUUUGCCAAGGUACUUUCUGUGACUAGAUUUACCUUGCAUUUAUAUUCUCUUCUCUUUGGUAAUAUGUACAUAUGUGUGUGAGGUAUAUUUGGACCUGGGAUUAUGUGUGUGGUUAAAAAUAUACAUCAGUACGUUAGUGACCUGCAUAGGUGCAUUAAGCAAUGUAUUUUGAGAGCCAUGGGCUGGAAGGAAACACCCAACUAGCUACUUUGAGACACUAGCAAAGCCCAAAGUAAUUCUGUUAGAUGAGCGUAUGAGCUACUGUUUUAUAUGUUUGUUACAGAUUUUUUCUUCCUGUUUUCUCCUGGAUAUUAUGUGAAAACAAUGUAUGUAUUUAAACAAAAUUUUAAAUUUCAAUCUUAAGAAUUUCAGGGUUGGUUUGUUUGUUUGCUUUGAGAUGGAGUCUCAUUCUGUCACCCAGGCUGGAGUGCAGUGGUGCGAUCUCGGCUCACUGAAACCUUUGCCUCCCAGGUUCAAGUGAUUCUCCUGCCUCAGCCUCCCAAGUAGCUGGGACUACAGGCGCGCUCCAUCACGCCCAACUAAUUUUUUGUAUUUUUAGUAGAGAUGGGGUUCCACUGUGUUAGCCAGGCUGGUCUUGAUCUCCUGACCUUGUGAUCCGCCUGCCUUGGCCUCCCAAAGUGCUGGAAUUACAGUCGUGAGCCACCGCACCCAGCAAAUUUCAGGGUUUUUUUCAACCCAUGUUUAUUUUGAAAAAUUGAAAAUAUCAGGAAAAAUAAGAAGAUAAAAGUCUUCUGCAAUGCUAUCAUUCAAAUAAUUGCUGCUGUUCUUUAGGUAUUUGUAUGCUCUUCCAGACAUGUUCCUAAUGAGUAUAUAUUAAUGUAAAAUAAAAUAUCAAUGGCGAACAUUUGAGUGUUACCAUUUGCCAGCAUUUUGCAUGUAGGGACUCACUUCAUCCUCAACAAUUCAAUGAUUGGUUUUAUUAUUAAACUCAUUGUACAGAUGAGAAAGCCGAAGCCCAGAAUGAUUACCUUUCUUAAGAUCACAUAGGUAAGUAGCCAAGCCAGGAUUUGAACACAGGCAGUCUGGUUCCAGAGCCUGUGCUCUUAAGGCACUUGCUAUACUAACUUGCAAAAGAAUUCGGAGAAUACUAUCCAUACCAAUUUGUAACCCGUUGUUUUUCCCACUCAAAAUAUUAUGAACUCCCUUCCAUGCCAAUAACCUUAUAUCUAGAACAUCAUUUAAAAUGGCUCCGUUGUGAUGCAUACAUCCCCAAAAUGCAAUGCUGCAAUGCUGUUUCCCUUUGUGGCUGUUUUGGGUAAUAAUAACAAUUAAACUUAAAAAUAGCAAAUAUUGAGGUUCUGUGUCUGGUGCUGUCCUAAGACCUGUUUACAUCUCAUCUAAUUUAAUCCUUGUGAUAACUCAGGCUUCUUACAGGGGAAGAAGUUAGGGAAGAACAGGAAGAAAUUUGCCAUGACAUCUUCCUUACAUAAAACCUCAAGGUUAGAUUUUUGACAUCGUCUUCAAAUAAAAUUAUAUAUGUAAUAA
rnacentral:lncRNA from 1 species